AGGAAAGGCUUGCGGUGGUACCUGGCCACCCAGAGGACGAGGAAGGGCGUAGCAAGCGACGAAAUGCUACGGGGAGUUGAAAAUAAGCAUAGAUCCGGAGAUUCCCAAAUAGGUCAACCUUUUAAACUGCCUGCUGAAUCCAUGAGCAGGCAAGAGACAACCUGGCGAACUGAAACAUCUUAGUAGCCAGAGGAAAAGAAAGCAAAAGCGAUUCCC
rnacentral:ncRNA from 1 species